rnacentral:lncRNA from 1 species
GGUCUGACAAAUGAUGAAUUCUUCAGGCACUGAAAUAAGAUUUCAUACACUUAGCUAGAUAGGUAACCCUGGGACUUCUGUAAUAUUGGAUCAUACUGAUAAACCUAAUUUCUGACAAAUUCUUCCUCAUCCAAUUCAUGCUCCCCAUUCUGAACACCAGCAUCAUGCAUCCUUUGCUCUGUUCUAGGCACAACAAUCAAAAGUGCUUAUUCCCAAACUGGACCUGACUUCAGCCAGAAUAUGUCACCGUGAGAUUCCCUAUGCAGAGGCCCAUGUGGCAACAAACUGAUGUGUCCUUCCAACAACCAGGCCUGAGACCUCACAAGACCCAACUGGAUCUCCCAGACAGAGCAGGCAGAACACCAUUUCUGCUGCCCCACAGCCCUCAAAGUUGUUACUCCCCGACUCUGGAAGGUUCUCAGUGACUAGAGACUGGUGCGGACCCCCAGCACAGUGUAGCCACCCCCAUGAAAACGUGGGAACCCUCAAGAGACAACUGAAAAAAUCUCUCUCACAACCAUCAUCAAGAUCCCAUUCCCUGCUGCCUCCAAGCUGGGGAGAGAACAUAAAGCUUGAGCUCGCCUCAGACCAGUGGUAUACAGCUCAGGACAGCCAAGGUGAGAUCUGCAACCAACACUCAAGUGGAAGAGGAGCACACACUUUCAGACCACUGAGGGGGUGCAUGACUGCAAUCAUGAGCAAAAUACAGAUGAGCAUGUGGCUGAAGAAGAGUCUACCUACUGGCCAUUAUAUUUAAGCACCAUCUACUGCAUCACAGUGUAACAUCAACAGCAAAAAUACUUUGUUAAUAUACCCCCUGGGGAACUAAGGACAAUAAUUUAACUACAAAUAAAGACCCUACCUAAAGCCUUAGCCCUCUGAAAAUAUCCAGAAAAAAAAGUCUACUGACUGUACUCAAAUUACACUGCAGUUAAAGGAACAUCAACCCACACAGAUAACAAAGAAACAACAUGAGAACUCUGGCAACUCAAAAAAGCCAGAGUGUCUUUUUUCCUCCAAAUGACUACAUUAAUUCCCCAGUAAGGGAUCUUAACUUGGCCGAAAUGGCUAAUAUUACAGAAAUAGAUUUCAGAAUAUGGUCAGGAAGGAAGAUCAUUGAGAUUCAGGAGAAAGUCAAAACCCAAUCCAAGAAAUAUAAAGAUUACAAUAAAAUGAUACAAGAGCUGAUACACAAAAUGGUCAUUAUAAGAAGAAUGAAACUGACCUGAUAGAGCUGAAAAAUGCACUAUAAGUGUUUCAUAAUGCAAUUGCAAGUAUUAACAGCAUAAUAGACCAAGCUGAAAGAAUAUCAGAGCUUAAGGACUGGUUCUUUGAAAUAACUCAUUCAAUCAAAAGUAAAGAGAAAAGAAUAAAAGACGAAUAAACAAGACCUCUGAGAAAUAUAGGAUUAUAUAAAGAAACCAAAUCUAUGACUCAUUGGCAUCCCUGAAAGAGCUAGGGAAAAAGCAAUCAACUUGGAAAACAUAUUUCAGGUUAUCACCCACAAAAUCUUCCUCAACCUCACUAGAGAGGACAAAAUUCAAAUCCAGGAAAUUCGGAGAACUCAUACAAGAUACUACAAAAGACCAUCCCCGAGACACAUAAUCAUCAGAUUCCCCAAGGUCAAAAUGUAAGAAAAAAAUGCUAAAGGAAACUAGAAAGAAAGGACAGGUCACCUACAAAGAGGACCCCAUCAGGCUAAUAGCAGACCUUUCAGUAGAAACUCUACAAGCCAGAGGAGACGGGGGCCUAUAUUCAGCAUUCUGAAAGGAAGAAAUUCCAACCAAGAAUUUUGUAUCCAGCCAAACUAAGCUUUGUAAGUGAAUGAGAAACAGAAUCCGUUUUAGAGAAGCAAGUGCCGAGGGAAUUUUUUACCACGAUUCUUGCCUAACAAGAGGUCCUAAAAGGAGCACUACAUAUGGAAAGAAAAGACUGUUACCAGCCACUACAAAAACACACUUAAGUACACAGACCACUGACACUACAAAGCAACCACACAAACAAGUUUGCAUAAAUAAUAGCUAACAACACAAUAACAUGAUCAAAUCCACAAUAUAAAUAUUAACUUUGAAUAUAAAUGGGCUAAACGCCCCCAUUUAGAAGGCACAGAGGGGCAAGCUUGAUAAAGAAGCAAGAUAUAGUUAAUGCUGUCUUCAAGAGGUCUGUCUCACAUGCAGUGACACCCAUAGGAUCACAAUAAAGGGAGAGAGAAAAAUCUACCAAGCAAA